rnacentral:lncRNA from 1 species
AGUCGGUCCCGGUCAGGAGCCAGGUCGGGAAGUGUGUUUGUCCCGCCUCCGCACGGUGUUUUCUGGAGUGCUUUCAACCGCUGUGCUCCCCUCUUCAAAAGCUUGGAAAGCAACCUUUGUGGAUUUUUUUUUCUUUCCGAAAGUAAAAGGAUUUCUGCGUUCCAGUCAGGUUGGCUGCGGCCCCGCAUCCCCCCGCCUCAGAAACCUGGCGAUUCCGGCGUGUUUCUGGACCUGUUCAAACUCUGUCUCUUGACUGGAGGAGGAGGAGGAAAAGCUGAGCACAUUGCCAACUGGAGUUCUCCAAGAAUGGCAAGUUAAAACCAAAGUGUCAGCACUUCAACAACAUUUUUUUUUGGCUUAAAACAUCAAACGGCAUACAAAUGGU